rnacentral:lncRNA from 1 species
UUUUUUUUUAUGUAUUUUUUUAUUCUUGUUUGGUUGCGUAGACAGUCUCGUGGUUUUGGGAUUGGGUUAUGGAAAUUUUUUAAAGUUUAGGAUGGUGGUGGUUUUAGGUUUGUUAAAUUCCAGCUAGUAGGGGCUGUGGAUUUUGGUGAUGGAAGUGAUCACAAGUUACAGAAAGUAGGCUGUUGAUGGUCUUAGUGAAUUUUUGGUAGUGUGUUCAUGAUGGUCAGGGGGUGGAUGCCGAAUGGUGUCGUGAAUGUUUAUGGUGGUGGUGUUUUUGGCAUUGGUUUUGAAAGAGACUUAUGGUCUUGGUGGUUGUCGAGGGCUGGGUUCUUCAGUUAUGCUGAAUAUGGGUUGAAAGUAGGAAAGGUGGUGUUCGGUGGUUUACAUGGGGAUGGUAGUGGGUUGGAGUAUGUAAAGGCGGUAGUGUUGGUUCUGGUAUGAAAGAAAGAGAGUCAAACUUAUGGUUGUAAGUUGAGAGAAGGGUCCGCAAUUGGUGGCCUGGUGAUUUUGUGAAUUGGCAGUGUUGUUUUUGGGUUACGAUGGAUAUUUGGGUGUUCUUGGUCUGUGGUGAGUCUCGGUUGGAGGUUGUUGAAGUUAAGGAAUUUGAUUUUUUUUU